CGUGCAGGCGGUUUUCUAAGUCGGACGUGAAAGCUCCCGGCUCAACUGGGAGAGGUCGUUCGAAACUAGGAAACUUGAGGGUGGUAGAGGAGAGUGGAAUUCCCGGUGUAGUGGUGAAAUGCGUAGAUAUCGGGAGGAGCACCAGUGGCGAAGGCGGCUCUCUGGGCCACUCCUGACGCUAAGACGCGAAAGCUAGGGGAGAGAACG
rnacentral:rRNA from 1 species